AUACAAUUCUAUUCCUAGGAAAGUUUUGUUAUUCUAUUUGAUAACCUUUUGGUUAUUAUGAAAGUUACAUAACUUAUUGAUGAGAUGUUUAGAAAAUGUAGAUGAGCAAAAGAAGAAACUUUACAAGAAAUAGAUAACAUCAAGAACUUCGGGAGUGGGAGAGAUUGGACAGGGAGACUCAGCAGGUCAGGACAUUUGUGUUAUCAUUUGCUGAUCAUUCUUUUGCCAUCAAUCCUACAGUUCUCAAGUCUCUUGCCACUUGUUUAUUUCUUGGACAUGCUUACUUGGUAUGUUCUCAGUUUUGCAAAUCAUGACUAACGCCUUCAUAUAAAAAGUCUAGCAUUUGAGUAUCCUUUUUUAGGAUUUGAAGAUUAAAACAUAAUUUAAAUGAAUUUUCAAGAAUAGAAGAAAAUUUUUUACCUAAUAAGUUAU
rnacentral:lncRNA from 1 species